CAGAGGGGGCAAGCGUUAUUCGGAAUUAUUGGGCGUAAAGGGCGCGUAGGCGGCUUUUCAAGUGACGGGUGAAAUCCCUCGGCUUAACCGAGGAACUGCCUGUCAGACUGGAAGGCUUGAGACCGGGAGAGGUGAGUGGAAUUCCCAGUGUAGCGGUGAAAUGCGUAGAUAUUGGGAGGAACACCAGUGGCGAAGGCGGCUCACUGGACCGGUACCGACGCUGAGGCGCGAAAGCGUGGGGAGCAAACAGGAUUAGAUACCCUGGUAGUCCACGCCGUAAACGAUGAGUGCUUGGUGUAGCGGGUAUCGACCCCUGCUGUGCCGACGUCAACACAUUAAGCACUCCGCCUGGGGAGUACGGUCGCAAGACUG
rnacentral:rRNA from 1 species